CCCGCCCCGCUCCCUUGUACUUCGCACCUUUGUUUUACCUAAUGUCACAGAGCAGGUGCCACUCUUGGCCACUACUUCACUCAAACUGCUGCCAUGGCCCUCACUCUGUUGGUUCCCCACCAAUCUGACCAUUCCUCUUCAGUUUUCUUUGCCACCUCUUCUGAUCUGGGAAGUAUAAAUAGACUGUGUGAGGGUUAGAAAACCCUUGAAAGAGGUACCUGAGUACAGAGAAUUCCCAACUAGCCCUCUUUGAGGGGCAUCUUAGACACAGCAUGACAUCAAGUAAU